rnacentral:rRNA from 1 species
GCGUCGUUGGGACUAGUUGUGGGGUCCAUUCCACGGAUUCCGUGACGCAGCUAACGCAUUAAGUUCCCCGCCUGGGGAGUACGGCCGCAAGGCUAAAACUCAAAGGAAUUGACGGGGACCCGCACAAGCGGCGGAGCAUGCGGAUUAAUUCGAUGCAACGCGAAGAACCUUACCAAGGCUUGACAUAUACGAGAACGGGCCAGAAAUGGUCAACUCUUUGGACACUCGUAAACAGGUGGUGCAUGGUUGUCGUCAGCUCGUGUCGUGAGAUGUUGGGUUAAGUCCCGCAACGAGCGCAACCCUCGUUCUAUGUUGCCAGCACGUAAUGGUGGGAACUCAUGGGAUACUGCCGGGGUCAACUCGGAGGAAGGUGGGGAUGACGUCAAAUCAUCAUGCCCCUUAUGUCUUGGGCUUCACGCAUGCUACAAUGGCCGGUACAAAGGGCUGCAAUACCGUGAGGUGGAGCGAAUCCCAAAAAGCCGGUCCCAGUUCGGAUUGAGGUCUGCAACUCGACCUCAUGAAGUCGGAGUCGCUAGUAAUCGCAGAUCAGCAACGCUGCGGUGAAUACGUUCCCGGGUCUUGUACACACCGCCCGUCAAGUCAUGAAAGUCGGUAACACCUGAA